CAGCAGCCGCGGUAAUACGUAGGGUGCGAGCGUUAACCGGAAUUACUGGGCGUAAAGGGCGCGUAGGCGGUUAGGAAGGUGUGAUGUGAAAGCCCUGGGCUUAACCUAGGAAGUGCAUCGCAAACCAACUAGCUGGAGUAUAAGAGAGGGUGGCGGAAUUUCCGGUGUAGCGGUGAAAUGCGUAGAGAUCGGAAGGAACGUCAAUGGCGAAGGCAGCCACCUGGCUUAAUACUGACGCUGAGGCGCGAAAGCGUGGGGAGCGAACAGGAUUAGAUACCCCUGUAGUCCCUGUCUCUUAUAC
rnacentral:rRNA from 1 species